UGUGGGAGCGAGCUUGCUCGCGAUAGCGGUGGGUCUGUUGGCAUUGAGUUGGCUGUGCCGCCGUCAUCGCGAGCAAGCUCGCUCCCACA
rnacentral:misc_RNA from 1 species